GUCCUCGUAGCUCAGCGGAUAGAGCAGCCGCCUCCUAAGCGGCAGGUCGCACGUUCAACUCGUGUCGAGGACA
rnacentral:tRNA from 1 species